rnacentral:tRNA from 1 species
GUUACCAUAGCUUACACUAAAGCACGGCACUGAAAAUGCCGAGACGGUUUCUCAACCUACUAACA